GCCGGCAUGGCGCAGUGGCUAACGCGUCGCACUUGUACUCAAAGAAGUUAAAUGCGAAGAUCACAGGUUCAAUUCCUGUUGCCGGCA